CAGGCGGAUUGUUACUACGAAGGGUUUGUGGAAGACGUCCCAGGAUCUGUAGUUUCUCUCAGCACCUGCUCUGGACUCAGUGGACUCCUGAAAGUUGAAGAUAGAAACUAUGAUAUUGAACCUAUUGAGGACUCGUCAUCCUUUCAACACCUCAUUUUUCAAGUCGCAGCUGAUGAGGACUCACCCGAUCGCUGUGGAGUAACUGGUGAUUUCCUGGAAAAUCAAGCAGCUGAAGAGAGAGAACUUCCUACAAACGAGAGCCGGAAAUAUGAUCCUCGUUACCACACCUUGUAUGGACACACCAGAUACCUAGAGUUCUUCCUUACUUCAGACAAACUGGUG